UACGUAGGGAGCAAGCGUUGUCCGGAAUCAUUGGGCGUAAAGCGCGCGUAGGUGGCCUCAUAAGUCCGCUGUGAAAGUCAAAGGCUCAACCUUUGAAAGCCGGUGGAUACUGUGGGGCUAGAGUACGGAAGAGGCGAGUGGAAUUCCUGGUGUAGCGGUGGAAUGCGCAGAUAUCGGGAGGAACACCAAUAGCGAAGGCAGCUCGCUGGGACGUUACUGACACUGAGGCGCGAAAGCGUGGGGAGCGAACAGG
rnacentral:rRNA from 1 species